rnacentral:rRNA from 1 species
UACGAGAGCCUCGAGCGUUAUCCGGAAUUAUUGGGCGUAAAGAGCGUGUAGGCGGUCCGGUAAGUCAGCUGUGAAAGUCAAGGGCUCAACCCUUGAAAGCCGGUUGAUACUGUCGGGCUAGAGUCCGGAAGAGGCGAGUGGAAUUCCCGGUGUAGCGGUGAAAUGCGCAGAUAUCGGGAGGAACACCAAUGGCGAAGGCAGCUCGCUGGGACGGUACUGACGCUGAGACGCGAAAGCGUGGGGAGCAAACAGG